UACGUAGGGUGCGAGCGUUAAUCGGAAUUACUGGGCGUAAAGAGCGCGCAGGCGGUCGAUCAAGUCGAGUGUGAAAGCCCCCGGCUCAACUGGGGAGGGUCAUUCGAUACUGAUCGACUCGAAGGCAGGAGAGGGUAGUGGAAUUCCCGGUGUAGUGGUGAAAUGCGUAGAUAUCGGGAGGAACACCAGUGGCGAAGGCGACUACCUGGCCUGUUCUUGACGCUGAGGCGCGAAAGCUAGGGGAGCAAACGGG
rnacentral:rRNA from 1 species